AUUGAACGCUGGCGGCGUGCCUAACACAUGCAAGUCGAGCGGCAGCGCGGGAGCAAUCCUGGCGGCGAGCGGCGGACGGGUGAGUAAUGCUUGGGAAUCUGCCUGUUAGUGGGGGACAACCCGGGGAAACUCGGGCUAAUACCGCAUACGCACUACGGUGGAAAGCCGGGGACCGCAAGGCCUGGCGCUAACAGAUGAGCCCAAGUCGGAUUAGCUAGUUGGUAGGGAACGGCCUACCAAGGCGACGAUCCGUAACUGGUCUGAGAGGACGACCAGUCACACCGGAACUGAGACACGGUCCGGACUCCUACGGGAGGCAGCAGUGGGGAAUAUUGGACAAUGGGGGAAACCCUGAUCCAGCGACGCCGCGUGGGUGAAGAAGGCCUGCGGGUUGUAAAGCCCUUUCAGUGGGGAAGAAAGCCUCGACCUAACACGUCGGGGUCUUGACGUAACCCAUAGAAGAAGCACCGGCUAACUCUGUGCCAGCAGCCG
rnacentral:rRNA from 1 species